rnacentral:lncRNA from 1 species
CUGAGCUCAGAGUCCUUCAGGAACCUCUGGAGACAUUUGGUGAUGAAAUCACAUAUUGGUGAUGAAAUCCCAGAAAAGAAGAAUUUAGAAAUCAAAAGUUUGUGCAGGUUUUGGGAAAGAAAAAUAUCAGAUGGGGAGAAGACAUCUCAGGAAAUUAAACCAAAGAAGGGAAUAGAAGGGGAAGGAGGCGGAUGUCACCUGGCUGUUUGUUUCUGCAAGCACAGAGCACAUUUUCAACAUACCCUGGAAUAACAGAGCUUUAUAAGGUAUGGAUGAAUCCCC